rnacentral:rRNA from 1 species
CGGGAGGCAGCAGUUAGGAAUCUUCGGCAAUGGGGGAAACCCUGACCGAGCGACACUGCUUGGAGGAUGAAGGUUUUCGGAUCGUAAACUCCUGAACGGGGGACGAAUAAUGACGGUACCUCGCUAAUAGCACCGGCUAACUCCGUGCCAGCAGCCGCGGUAAUACGGAGGGUGCAAGCGUUAUCCGGAAUCACUGGGCGUAAAGGGCGCGUAGGCGGUUUGUUAAGUCCGAUGUUAAAGACCGAGGCUCAACCUCGACACGGCGUUGGAUACUGGCAAGCUGGACGGUUGGAGAGGAAGGUAGAAUUACCAGUGUAGCGGUGGAAUGCGUAGAUACUGGUAGGAAUACCCAUUGCGAAGGCAGCCUUCUGGACAACACGUGACGCUGAGGUGCGAAAGUGUGGGGAGCAAACCGGAUUAGAUACCCGGGUAGUCCACACCCUAAAC